AGCAAGUAUUUCUUUCCGAGCAAAGUCAAGCUGAUGGUGAUAUGAAGUCAAUUUUACAGCUAAGCCCCACGUCUUUUUUUCAGCUGAGUCGGACAUUUUCUUCAUCUUCUCGAUCAGUUACGCUUUCUCAAUGCUAUGUGACACAACCCCUCGUCGAGCUUCCCGCUGAAGCAUGGCGAUCCACUUUUCAGCCACCCUA
rnacentral:lncRNA from 1 species